GAAAGGCGGAGGCGGCGCUCGGGGCGGCCGAGGGCAGCGCCCCGCCGCGGGAGUGGCGCGGGGCACCUGCCAGCCGCCGGGCGACCGGCGAGGGCGGGCGGGCGACGAGGAGGGCGGCGGCAGCCCGCCCCGGCGUGCCCAGGCGCCGCGGCCCCGAGGCGAUGGAGCAGGAGAAGUACCUGCCCGAGCUGAUGGCCGAGAAGGACAGCCUGGAUCCCUCCUUUGUCCACGCCAUGCGCCUCCUGGCCGACGAAAUUGAAAAAUUUCAGGGUUCUGAAGGCAAGAAGGAAGAUGAAGAAAAGAAAUAUCUUGAUGUUAUCAGCAACAAAAACAUAAAGCUGUCAGAAAGAGUUCUGAUUCCUGUCAAACAAUAUCCAAAGUUCAAUUUUGUUGGGAAAUUGCUUGGACCAAGAGGAAACUCCUUGAAGAGGUUACAAGAAGAAACAGGUGCAAAAAUGUCCAUCCUGGGGAAGGGAUCCAUGAGGGAUAAAGCUAAGGAGGAAGAACUAAGGAAAAGUGGAGAAGCCAAAUACGCGCACUUGAGUGAUGAGCUUCACGUAUUAAUUGAAGUGUUUGCUCCACCUGGAGAGGCGUAUUCUCGUAUGAGUCAUGCCUUGGAAGAAAUAAAAAAAUUCCUCGUUCCUGAUUAUAAUGAUGAAAUUCGCCAGGAGCAGCUGAGAGAACUGUCGUAUUUGAACGGUUCUGAAGAUUCCGCACGUGGACGGGGCAUUCGAGGAAGAGGGAUCCGUGUCCCACCUACAGCUCCUUCAAGGGGCCGCGGGGGUGCCAUCCCUCCGCCCCCGCCCGGACGAGGUGCCCAAGCGCCCAGAGGAGCGCCGGUGACCCGAGGAGCCCUCCCCGUCCCACCAGUGGCGAGAGGCGUUCCCAGCCCUCGAGCGAGGGGUGCCCCGGCUGUCCCGGGCUACAGACCGCCCCCGCCACCCGCCCACGAGGCCUAUGAAGACUACGGGUACGAUGAUGGAUAUGGGGGUGAAUAUGAUGAUCCAAGCUAUGAGGCAUAUGAUAACAGUUAUGCCACCCAAACGCAAAGUGUGCCUGAAUAUUAUGACUACGGUCAUGGAGCAAGCGAAGAGGCUUAUGACAGCUACGCACAAGAAGAAUGGGCCACAACCCGUUCCAGCCUAAAGGCACCACCUCCAAGGUCAGCCAGAGGGGGUUACAGGGAACACCCCUAUGGUAGAUAUUGAAGGUCCUCCUCAUCUGUGACCUCAUCUCAAAGACAAUUAAUAGCCUGUGGUCUCCACAUAAACAGCAACAAGACAAGGACUCACAGGCACUGGACAACUAAGCAGCAGAUCUGCUGAGAAGUGGUCAGAUUUUUGGAGCCCUUAGGGAAGUACUGUACCUUUUGAACGGUGUUCAGGGAAUUGAGAGUGUUCAACAUCAUUUGCAAUAAAUCAGUGGGAUCUGAAGGACGGAGCCUCAGGUUGGGACUCUCCAGAGCCCCGAGUCCUGGACCUGCCACUGCCACCCUCCCUAGGGCACGCCGGCACUCACGCUUACAGUGGUCUUCCAGUCUGUCAGGUACAGAGUACUUCAUUAUAUGCAUGAACAGAAGUGCUUAAAUGGAUGAAGCGGCUAUUUACGUCUGAUAGGAGCUAAGUGGGACAUUAAAUUAAUGCCAAACAAGUUAGUGAGACUUUAAUCAAGAAAAAAAAAUAUCUAAUGAACAGCAAUUUGAAACACGGCACUUGGAAAGGUCAAAAUGGUACAUUACAUCCUUAUUAUCCAAAAGAACAGAUGAGUUUAAUAUCCUGGCAGCAUUUUCCUGUGAAGGAGAUAUUAAACAAGAACUGAAAAUGGCACAAGGUUCCCUCUUCCUUUCUUAUGACAAAGAUUGUAACAAGAUGAUGAAACUAUACAGAAUAAAUUUCUUGCUUUAAUGUUCAGACUGUGGAUCCUGCCUAGAUUUCAAAAACCUAAGCUAACCAAAGAGCCAACACACAUGCUCUUUGCUUCAGGUCCUUUACAACACAUUUUCCUGCUUAUAAUACCCAGUUGCCAUUAUAUUUCUAGUCUUAAAGAUGGGAAGACAUGUUAAUAGAAGGUAGGCAGUGCAAUGAGUUCUGGCAAAUGCUAACUGUGUUGAACUGCAACAAAUAAUGCCCUGCAUCAGCACUGCUUAAAAUGUAGAUUUUUUCAGCUUCUGUUUGAAUAGACCUAAGAACAGAGAUAACGUAUUCCAACACACAACACAUUGCAUAUGUCCUGUUUUGGAGAGUCCCUGAAGGUAUGGAACUCUUUGAAGGCAAAGGAAUUUGUAGUAUAUCCUGUAGGUUUAAUAUUAAAUUGUUAACAAUUGUUA